GCUAUCCACCAAACAGCAGACAAGAGUGGACAACCACUUCCAAGGCUGGAGAGAUAGCCAGCCUCAGUUACAAACUACGUUUCGAGGGUCAUGACACCUACAGGUGCUUUCCAGCUUGUAGCCCUGUCGUCAAUAGUUAAACAUCCCUAUUUGGUUAAGGAAGUGCGAUUGGCAUAACAAGCCCUCAAAACAUUGGCGAGGAAAACAUUAC
rfam:Oscillatoria nigro-viridis PCC 7112 plasmid pOSC7112.02, complete sequence.